rnacentral:rRNA from 1 species
UACGGGGGGGGCAAGCGUUGUUCGGAAUUACUGGGCGUAAAGGGCUCGUAGGCGGCCAACUAAGUCAGACGUGAAAUCCCUAGGCUCAACCUAGGAACUGCGUCUGAUACUGGAUGGCUUGAAUCCGGGAGAGGGAUGCAGAAUUCCAGGUGUAGCGGUGAAAUGCGUAGAUAUCUGGAGGAAUACCGGUGGCGAAGGCGGCAUCCUGGACCGGCAUUGACGCUGAGGCGCGAAAGCUAGGGUAGCAAACGGG